GGCUCCAUAGCUCAGGGGUUAGAGAACUGGUCUUGGAAAACCCGGAGUUGUGAGUUCAAAUCUCUCGGGGCCU
rnacentral:tRNA from 1 species